CGCGAGUUCUAUCGGGUA
rnacentral:snRNA from 1 species